rnacentral:rRNA from 1 species
AGCGUCAAAAGGGCGUCUGGUGGAUGCCUUGGUGGUAAGAGGCGAUGAAGGACGUGGCACGCUGCGUUAAGUUCCGGGGAGUUGCGAGCAGACUUUGAUCCGGAAAUUUCCGAAUGGGGGAACCCACCUUUACAGACCCUGGCGGUUGUUCGUCUGAGUGAUCAGGCGGCCAAUCACCAGUGUUUGUGAAAGGUAUCUUAUUCUGAAUACAUAGGAAUAAGAAGCGAACUCGGGGAACUGAAACAUCUAAGUACCCGAAGGAAAGGACAUCAAUUGAGACUUCCCUAGUAGCGGCGAGCGAACGGGAACCAGGCCAGUGUCUCUUCUUGAGUCAGCGGAACGAUCUGGAAAGUUCGGCCAUAGCGGGUGAUAGCCCCGUACGUUAAAGCGAUUGAAGAGACCUUGAGUAGGGCGGGACACGUGAAAUCCUGUCUGAACAUGGGGGGACCACCCUCCAAGCCUAAGUACUCCUUACCAACCGAUAGUGAACCAGUACCGUGAGGGAAAGGUGAAAAGCACCCCGACGAGGGGAGUGAAACAGAUCCUGAAACCGGACGCCUACAAGCAGUCGGAGCCGCCUUGCGCGGUGACGGCGUACCUUUUGUAUAAUGGGUCAGCGACUUUGUCUCUCGAGCAAGCUUAAGCCGGUAGGUGUAGGCGCAGCGAAAGCGAGUCUGAAUAGGGCGACGAGUUCGAGGGAUAAGACCCGAAACCGAGUGAUCUAGCCAUGUGCAGGUUGAAGGUGCGGUAACACGCACUGGAGGACCGAACCCACGUCUGUUGAAAAAGACGGGGAUGACGUGUGGCUAGGGGUGAAAGGCCAAUCAAACUCGGAGAUAGCUGGUUCUCCGCGAAAUCUAUUUAGGUAGAGCGUCUCGUAUUACCUUCGGGGGUAGAGCACUGGAUGGGCUAGGGGGUCCCAACGACUUACCAAACCUAACCAAACUCCGAAUACCGAAGAGUAGAGCGAGGCAGACACACUGCGGGUGCUAAGGUCCGUAGUGGAGAGGGAAACAGCCCUGACCGCCAGCUAAGGUCCCUAAGUUAUCACUAAGUGGGAAACGAUGUGGGAAUGCUUAGACAACCAGGAGGUUGGCUUAGAAGCAGCCAUCCUUUAAAGAAAGCGUAACAGCUCACUGGUCAAGCGUUCCUGCGCGGAAAAUGUAACGGGGCUUAAGUGAUACACCGAAGCUGCGGACUCGAAAGAGUGGUAGCGGAGCGUUCUGUAAGUCUGUGAAGGUGGCCUGCGAGGGCUGCUGGAGAUAUCAGAAGUGAGAAUGCUGACAUGAGUAGCGAUAAAGAGGGUGAGAGGCCCUCUCGCCGAAAGUCCAAGGGUUCCUGCGCAAUGCUAAUCAGCGCAGGGUAAGCCGGCCCCUAAGGCGAGGCCGAAAGGCGUAGUCGAUGGGAACCAGGUUAAUAUUCCUGGGCCAGCGGGUAGUGACGGAUUGCGGACGUUGUACACUCUUACUGGAUUGAGUGUGCAGCCAAGCCGUCCCUGGAAAUAGCUCCCGCAUGAGACCGUACCCCAAACCGACACAGGUGGACUGGUAGAGCAUACCAAGGCGCUUGAGAGAACUCUGUUGAAGGAACUCGGCAAAUUACUCCCGUAAGUUCGCGAGAAGGGAGCCUGGCAUUAGGCAACUGGUGUCCAGGGGCACAGACCAGGGGGUGGCGACUGUUUAUUAAAAACACAGGGCUCUGCGAAGUCGCAAGACGACGUAUAGGGUCUGACGCCUGCCCGGUGCCGGAAGGUUAAAAGGAGGGGUGAGAGCUCCGAAUUGAAGCCCCGGUAAACGGCGGCCGUAACUAUAACGGUCCUAAGGUAGCGAAAUUCCUUGUCGGGUAAUUUCCGACCCGCACGAAUGGUGUAACGACUCCUACACUGUCUCAACGAGGGACUCGGCGAAAUUGUAGUCGUGGUGAAGAUGCCACGUUCCCGCAUCAAGACGGAAAGACCCCGUGAACCUUCACUGCAGCCUAUUACUGGCUCUCGCCAUGGAAUGUGUAGGAUAGGUGGGAGACGUUAUGCCGUGGUCGCCAGAUCACGGAUAGUCACUGGUGAAAUACCACUCUUUUCAUGGUUGGAUUCUAACCCGGGACCGUUAUCCGGCCCGGGGACAGUGGUAGGUGGGCAGUUUGACUGGGGCGGUCUCCUCCGAAAGCGUAACGGAGGAGUGCAAAGGUACCCUCAGUGCGGUCGGUAAUCGCACGUAGAGCGUAAAGGUAUAAGGGUGCUUAACUGCGAGACAAAUAGGUCGAGCAGGUGCGAAAGCAGGUCUUAGUGAUCCGGUGGUCCCGUGUGGAAGGGCCAUCGCUCAUCAGAUAAAAGGUACUCCGGGGAUAACAGGCUGAUCUCCCCCAAGAGUCCAUAUCGACGG